UACGAAGGGGGCUAGCGUUGUUCGGAAUUACUGGGCGUAAAGCGUGCGCAGGCGGUUUUGUAAGACAGAUGUGAAAUCCCCGGGCUCAACCUGGGAACUGCGUUUGUGACUGCAAGACUCGAGUGCGGCAGAGGGGGGUGGAAUUCCACGUGUAGCAGUGAAAUGCGUAGAGAUGUGGAGGAACACCGAUGGCGAAGGCAGCCCCCUGGGUCGACACUGACGCUCAUGCACGAAAGCGUGGGGAGCAAACAGG
rnacentral:rRNA from 1 species